GAAAAAUGAUAUCAAUCACAUCAUUUGAGAAUUAUGGUUCUGUUGUUGAAAUCAUUGUGGGUUUUAAAUUUGAUCAUUGUUGCGGGUGCACUUUCAAUCUGCAUAUAUAUUUCAGCUGCAUCAAAUAUGCGAAGUAAUGGGUACCAAUUUUCAAUACUUUUUUCAAUGUAAUUACCAGUGACUGUGGAGGCUCAUCAGAAUCCACUAGCUGGAUAACUAUUUUACGGUGGUAUCGCGACAUGACUACACACAAAAGAGAUAUACUAGCAUCAAUAAUAAAGGGAUUCCUUUUUAGGAUUUUGAAAUUUUUUUAGAGGGGUCUUCCGAGAUUGCAUAUGUUAUUGCAUUUGAAGCCAUUCAUAAAGAACCUACAAGGGAUAAGUUCCUCCAGCUAGACAGGUUGGUUAGGGGAGUUUUAGGUGGAUUCAUUGGAACCGGGAUUGAAUUGAUUAUAAUGAUUGCAAUACGAACUCAUAGAUGAGAAAACAACACCAAUUUUGGUACUAAGGUCAAUAAACACCAUGCAUAUAUCAAUAUCAGAUCAGUGUUACUUUUAUUUUCAUCAAGUACAUUUUGUUUAGUCAAGGAUUCGGUUCCAAAGCAGGCUGGCAAGGGCACAUGCUCAGUAUAUUGUUCCGAAACAAGGACGCAAGGUACGACUCUUAUUCAGGUAUUUACACUGGAGUUAUACAUUCGAUGAAAAUUACCGAUCAAAUUGGUAUCACUACAAAAUGUACACGGAAAGAUUGAUAAAAUAUGCAGUAUUGGAGACAGGGGACGUAAAGGACUUUCCAAAUCUCGCCAAUACCAUCAUUACUCCCACUGCCACUACCUACCAUGGCCGAUCUUUUAUUGGCAAAAAUGAGAUUUAGAAAGUCAGAUAUUUUCUACUACAGGAUUGCAGGGUCAUGGACCAUAAAUGCAUUAACUGAAAUUACUUGAAGGAGAACAACUUAUUCACGGUUGCAGCCUAGUAGGGAUCCCCUUGCUCAGUUGGGAUCUGAAUUGAUGUCCAUAAUUACGAAGCAAUCUACUUGCUUCUUGCCCGGCAUGCCUUAUCGCGUGAUCGUUCUCCAUUUUGGUGGCCCGGUUGAUCGCGUGAUUGCAGGGUCAUGGACCAUCAGCCUCAUCAUCCAUCAGUCUUCGUUACCAAACAUAUAUUUUGCUUCAAGACUUAACAUGUCAAACGUUUCUAUCUUUGAAUUGGUGCUAAAUGUAGGUCAAAUUGGAAUUGUAAUUUCAGUGACUUUUCUGAGUACCUUACCGUUGUUUUAUGAUUGGGAAGUUGCACAGGUAUUAGCUUUAUCAGUUUUAGAUUUGAUGCAUCCAACAUCGGCCUGUGUUUAGGUUUAUCUACACAACAAAACUCCAAAAUUUCAAUGUAAUAACUCAAAAAGUGAAGUUUUUAGAACGUCAACCGCCAACUGUUCGUCCUGUUAGAGGGAAA